CCACACCCAUGGCACAUGAAGUUCCCGGGCCAGUGAUGGAAUCCAAGCCGCAGCUGCAACGCCAGAUCCUUAACCCACUGUGCUGUCCUGGGAAUCAAACCUGCACCUUGGCAGCGACCCAAGCCACUGCAGAGACAACAGCAGAUCCUUAACCCACUGCGCCAUAGCGGGAACUCCAACAUGCAGCUUUCUUGAAGGUCAACCACCUUCUUCAGCUUGUAAGAUGCUCCUGACAGCAGCCUGUUUACACCUGAUCUGAUGCCAUUUCCAUGUCAACUGUUGAUUACAUUGGCUAAACCGAAAUUGAAAAUUAUGCUCUCUGCAAUAAUACUUUUGAUCUCUUGCUUUGAAACAAACAUCUUCUGAUUGAAAGGGUUUCAGGGGCUUUAGCAUAUAAUAAUCAUUGGUCUGGGAGGAAUCUGGUCUUGAAAUUUUAAGACGCAGUCUGCUAUCUUGCUACAGUGACUUGAGUGCCACAAAUAGGGUCAUAAAUGAACCCCUGUUGAGUGCUUUCUGCCAGGCAGGCUUUAAAGCAUUGUACAUGUACUAUUUCAUUUAAUUCACAUAACGACACAAUGAAGUAGGUAUUAUCACUGUCCCCAUUUCAUGAACGGGGACCCUGGGGCCCGGGAGGUAAUGUGACCUGCCCAAAGUCCUGCUGCUAGUCAGUAGUGGAGCCAGGAAUGGAAUCAAGGCACCUGCCUCCAAAUCUUAGACUCUUACCUCACUUUUAUGCUCCCUUUCUGUAAUAUCAGAGUUUUUUUAACUGCUGGAAAAAGUGAUUUUUUUUUCCUGGACCGCUUAAGGGAAAUAAACACCAAUGCCCUCGCUUCUUUCGAGUGUUAUCUCUAGAUUGGCUUCCCAGAUACGGCGUUUAGUUCUUCGUUUCUCCAUAACGAGUAGACUUCAGGACCGUAAGGGCUGGGUUAUAUCCGUCUCCAGCCCACGUUGACUGCGGAGGGGGAGGCGGGAGCUCAUUUUGCGCAGGGAGACGUUCCAGGUAAACCUCCUUGGAAUGUUCUAGUUUGAUGUAUCUCGAACUCCUGGCGCAGGAUGCAUUUGAAAAACCUUUCAAUAAGCUGAAACAAAUACACGAUAGAUGUUGAGUUGUUGUGGUUCAGUCUGUAUCCAGAAAAGGAGGAAAAAGCAACAGUAUUUUUAAAGUUACCCAUCUUACUUGGACAAGCUUUAUUUUUAUUUUUUAAUUUUUCCCCUUUAGGGCUGUACCUGCUGCAUAUGGAGGUCCCCGGGGUAGGGGUCGAAUCGGAGUUGCAGCUGCCAGUUUACACCGCAGCCACAGCAACGCCGGGUCCUUCAUCCACUGGAGAAGACAACGUCGGGUCCUUAACCCCCUGCGCCACAAUGGGAACUCCUACGUGGGCAAGCUUCAGGUUUUCAUGACCAGGAGCGGUGCUGCUUCCAGCCCCCAACCCCCACUCUUGCCGCAGGGCCCAGAUGGGCACGUUGUGACCCUGUCUGGGCUGAUAAUCGCAUCGCAGUGCUUUUCCUCAAAUCAGACGGCCGCUUAUCCCAGCUAAUCUCCCCACGAGCAUACGGAGGUGGAGAAUAGCAGGGACUCCUGAGUGCUCUAAUGGGUAAGGAAGUUGAAAAAUCUUGGCCAACUACUACUUAGAACCAUGAGGAAAUCCUUUGCAGCAUUUGUAGCUUGCUGGCCGGCCUCUCGACUCCGAAGUGGUUUCUGAACACUCGUGGUGGGAAGGUUUUGUGUGCAGCUCUCCGCAGCGUGCGAUCUGUUCAGCGCCGGCUGCCGACGGCAGAGGUCUGGCACACACUUCGGUGCCAAGAGCAAGACACGCUUCUACGUCCCGCGCUGCCGGCUUCACAAGAAGCUGCGAGCGUCGUCACGGUCUUUGCUGAACACCUUCUGUGGAGUUGCUGAUGGUUUUCUCUUUCUGUCAAGGCCCAGAAGUAGUUUCUGCUUCUCCAUCCGGGGUGCAUCGAGAGGUUCGAGAGAAGCAAGUCGGCGGCCCACGGACCUCCUUGGGGGCUGCCCGGUUGUAAUCCGAAGCUGGCCCUGUGCUCAGAGGGCAGAGGAAAGGGGCAGAUGACUCCAGACCUACAAACCCGGAGCGGCAGGUUACGAAGGGGAUUUGCCACAAGCCUUGUCUUAGGUGAAUCCAGCGCAGACGGACCCCUGCCCCUGCCGGCAGAGGCUUCGUGUUUAUGGAGAGGCCUUAGCUGGAUCCACUCGUGCACACAGUCUAUAGUCUCAUUGCCAUAUUAAUAUCUCAAGGCUUUAUCCUCGAGGCAGCUUCUGGAUGUAGAGGAAGCAAAUGGGGUGCAUGAUCUACGGACAGGGGAGGGGCGGGGGCGGGCAGCCUCCAAGUGCCAGGGUUCAGCUUGCAGGUCAAACCCUUGGGCACAUCUUCUCAGUGGCGCCCCCAGCACAAGUAUGGAUCCAUCUCCCAUCUCUGCAAGACCUCAAGUGGCUGCACAGAAGUGGUGUGAUUCUUUUUUUUUUGUUUCACUUUUUAGGGCCACACUCGUGGCAUAUGGAAUUUCCUAAGCUAGGGGUCAAAUCAGAGCUACAGCUGCCAGCCACAGCCACAGCCACACCAGAUCCGAGCUACGUCUAUGACCUACACCACAGCUAACAGCAACACUGGAUCCUUAACCCACUGAGUGAGGCCAGGGGUCGAACCUGCAUCCCAAUGGAUCCUAUUCUGUAACUGUAACCACUGAGCCGUGAAGGGAACUCCCAAAAGUCAACAUCUUAAUAGCUUGUUAUAUAACACAUUUUUAAAGGAAAUGUAAUGAGUGCUUAUUGCCAGAGUAAAUGAUAAUUUUUACUCUUUCUUUUCUAUUUCAAUGUAACAUACCGCCCAUGACACGUUAAAAUAAUCAUCAUUCCUUCCCCCCAAAUUUAAACCUAUUAAAUUAUUUUUUGAGAAAUUCUUAUCUAAAAUAUCUGCCAUUUUGCAGAACUCCUGCAGAUAUGAGUGAUUCGCUGUUUUAAUAAUUAGUGUGGGAAAAAAGAAGACACAUGGAGAAUUUUGAAAUAGUCCUGUUAUUGUUUACGGCAAUCUACAUGCAUGAAGAAAUAGCUAGUUUUAACCCAACAAAAUUACAAGUUCUAAAACUGACAGAACACUGUAAACCAACUAUAAUGGAAAAAAUAAAAAUCAUUUAAAAUUUUAAAAAAUGACAAGUUCUCCUUUAUUCAUGGUUUACACAGGAGUACACCCCAACAUCCCCCGCCUCCCCUCUUAAAUUUGUGAUUGACAAGGGGAGGCAGGACCUUGAAUGCAAGAGUCAACACACUUCAAAAGACCCCUGUGAAAGGUAAAAACUGAUAAUAAUCAUUUCCAAAGAGAAACAAGUCUCCCACUUGAAAAUGUGGGCCGUCAACAUAUUUUGCUCAGAAGAACAAAUGGGAAUAUGGCAGGAAAGAUCAGCACAGGGUCCUCAAGUUGGUUCAAGAGGUAAAACAUUAAGAUCUUGAAUGUUCGUUGCAGUUUUCAUGUGCAGAAUAUACACUUCUGUUCAUCCCAGAGGAGCCGCUUUCUCUCUAUUCCUUGGAUAGCUUUAGAAAGCCGUUGGACUCUCCAAGAAGUCCUAACUUAGUCUAGGGUGUAGUAUCUUGUAAGGGAGACAAAACGUUCCAUAAGUUGAAACCUUCCUUCAAAAUCUCCCUCAACUCCUCUCUUCCCCCCCUUUCCAUUUCCCCUUCUGCCCCCCUAGUUUAACUCUCACCACUUUAUGGCUACACAGCAGCGACUGCCCCUUCCCCAGACCCAGACAGGGUCUCAGCUUCAGCCAGACCCCCCGUGCACUGGCCCAAUGUACUGUCCAAAAGGCACUCGUACUGUGUGUGGCUGGUCCAUAGCAGCUGCCCGAUACAUGACAGUUUCAACCUGCUCAAGUCACUCUCCGCUGCCCGCAGGAAAAAGCUUAAAGCCCUGAUGGUUUGUAGAAGAUAAAAGACUGUGUUUGGUAUUUGUUCCCAUUGCAGGCACAGAAAUCCUAAACCCCUCGGAAUUGCUUGGGUGAUGAGAUGUCUCUGUUAAAUUAAAGAGGCGACUUGCCCAGGCUUCUAGAUAGUUUCGGGAUGAAGGCUGGGCAUCAGAAAGACCAGCCAUGUGAUUCGAUUUUUGGGACGUGGAGGCAGCCUGACCCCUGGGAUUGGGGAUGUCUGGAGAUUGGGUUUAGUCAUGAGGCCAAUGAUUUAACUGUGUCUAUGUCAUGAAACCCCAAUAAAACCCUUGGACGCUGGGGCUCAGAGGAGCUUCCUGGUUCAUGGUUGCAGAGAUGGACCUGGUGGUGACAUGCCCAGACUUCGUGGGAGGGGACGCGGAAGCUCUGUGUUCCCUCCUGGACCUCGUCCUGUGCCUCUCACUUGGCUGCUCCUGCAUCCUUUUUGUUGAAGUUGCCGUCGAAAGUCUAGCACUUUCUUGAGCUCUGUGAGUCAUUCUAGUGGAUUUUCAAACCUGAGGAAGUCAUGGAAUGCUCAGGUUUGUGGCCGGUUGGGCAGAAGGGUGGGUAGCCUGGGGGCUUCCCAAGACUCGUGGCCGGCAUCUGAGGUGAGGGCAGCCCCGUGGAGGACUUUGCCCUUAACCUGUGAGCCUGUGCCACCCCUGGGUAGCCAGUGUCAGCAGCGAGUUGGGGUAGAAACAGAGCCGAUGGUAUUAAGAGACGGCAACCGGAAUCUAUAGAAAUAGAUCAAGUCAUCAGUGCAGGACUUUGUUUAUCACAGCCGUCAUGGAAAGAUCGAUUGACUGAAAGCCUCCCCAGGACCACGAAACCAUAGCACUGCUUUCCCAAAUCCGGCUUCCAUGGACCCUGCUAGGAUGGCCUCGUGGUGAGGAAUCCUGCCUAGGAGUUGUUUAAAGACAAGAGGAGUCAAAAUAUUUUGACUAGCUUAGGGCAAGGCACUCGGCCUGCGUUGUGAUCUAUGGUCUUAAUUCCACGAGGUCCUACCAACGGUUUAUUUUGGCCAAAAAGCAGCAUAAGUGUCCUUUUCCACGUAGUGUCUCUGAGAAACAUUCCACCCCGGCAAGGUAGCCAAGUCUGGCUGAUGCGUUACAGCCAAUGAGUAAGUUACGGGCACGGAUUUGGGGGGGUCUCUGUACAUGGUGAUUCUGAGAAGAUUCAAGCUUCCAGCGCUGGUGAUGGGGGUCACAGGAGUGGGCGGGCAUUGCCUGGGUAUUGCCCACCAAGCUAUCUGUUUCCAGUUUGGGGAGCGGAACAGCCACAGAGGCAAAGCAAAGAGAUGCCGCAGGCACUGCCUGCCAGGCUCAGUCUGAGUGCUUUUUACCGAAGUCAGCGCACUGCAUCCUGAAGGGGAGGUAUUGUCGCCUCCACUUUGCAGACAAACUGUGAGCGCCCCGCGGUCUCCCAGCCUGUAAGCUGGAGGAUGAGCAUUCGCGUGCAGGGCUAUCUGGGUCCAGAUGGAAACUCUACGCUCAACUCCGCCACCAAGUGCCCAAUUCUGGGCCUCACCCUGGGAUGCCUGAGUUACAGUCUGAGUUCGGAAAGCAGAGAAAAGAUAUCUUGUCACCGUCCGCUUGCCUGGCAGUCCAGGGAGAGAGGUGGGGGCGGCUUCCUCGACCCCGCACUUGGGCUGGAGUCGGCGCCCGAGCCAGCUCUCGCGGACAUGACAGAGGGCACUGCUGGCGGGCACUAAUCUCUUUGCAGCCUCUGUCUCAGCGCUGGAUCUUCUUUAGGCAGAUGGGUGCUAGCUCUGGGGCAGACAGGAGCAAGCAGUCAUCGCAGCCUCCUGGAGACGUCCUUGGCGCAGCUGCCCAGGGCAUCCUUGCUGUGUUAAGAAUCCCCCCCACUCGCCCAGAUUAACUCUGCCCACUUGUGAGUAGCCAGCUGUGAGUCUGCAAGCGAGACUCUCGGAGGGCACAUCGUUCUGUCCACCAGAAGCCCCGCGAGCCAGCUCAGCAGGCGCAGAAACCACACUGCGGGGUGAGGCAGGGGCUCGGCACGGUGAUGUGUCCCUUUGUCGUUAGGAAAAGGCCCUUCCUGGUUUGGUUGGCCAGGGGGCUAACUCCAGUUCCCUGCUGGUGGAGGCUCACAGGAGUAGAUGAGACACGCUGAUAAGUGUUGCUUGGCCACCAGCAGGGCUGGUGACCUAGGACAACAUCUCACCUGUCCCAAACUGAGAACAGCCCAUGGAUGGGCGCCUGGGAAGCAGACUGAGCACAACUGCUCCUGGACCACACCUGGAGCUGAACCGUCUCCCUCUCGUUUCCUAAGGUUUCACAGCCGUCGAUUUCCCAUGGAAACAGCAGAAAUCUGUUUUAAUCAUCGGGAAUUUUGUUUCCUAAUUUGUAUGGGAACCUGGUGAUGCAGACAUAUGGUGCAUAUGCAUCGUCUCAGAAAGCGGCAGCCAAAAGAAAAAUAGUUAAAGCCAGUCUUAAAACUGGAAAGCUUCGGCGUAUGCCUUCAAAUUAUGUCCCUUGAUCUCAGAGGCAUCAGCCCUGCUGCCAAAAGACCUGGUUCUGCUUCCGCUGGUCCUUCCAGCAGGAUUUGCACUCGUACCUUGUCAGGUGCUCCCAGAAUGGAGAGAGUGAAUGAGUGCCGGUGGCGUUCUAAUCCUGACCCUUGGGCUAAGCCCGAGCUUCUCUCUGCCUCCUUAUCAUCCUCUGAGAGUUUCAUUCAACCAUUUUAAUAGUGAUCGAACAUCUAUUUGGUGCAGACAGGGUUCUGAGAACGAGGAAGGUAGCAGUAAACAAGAAGGGUCCCCACCUUUGUGGAGUUCAGAUUCUCUCAGGGGAGAUAAUCAAAUGAGUAGAAGGCAGAGCAUGUUUGCUGGGGAUCUGGGUUAUGGAGAAAGACAGAGCAGGAAAGGGAGUAUUUCAGAAGGGCAACUACAAAUUUAAAAUAGGCUGGUCAGGAAAGGCCUCGUGGAGAGGAGGCAGCUGAGGCAAUGCUUGAUGGAGGUGUGAGAAGCGGCCACGUGGAUAUCAGAGAUCCGAGAACAUUCGGGCGGAGGCCCUGAAACUGCAGAUCCCCCGCUGUUUUUGAGGAACGGCAAGAAGCCCAACACGGCGCCCAGGUUCUGGUGUGUGGGUAUGGCAGCUGGGACGGACUGACACGCAGGCCAGGGACGGACGGAAGAUAUUUAUGACCAAGGGUGUCGAGAAGAUCACGGGGAGAGCCUGCCCGUGUCCAUACUGGCUUGGAGCCUUCUUGGCCCCGCACAGAAAAGACCGUGAGGCUGGAGUGGAGCUGCGUGGCGGCAAGUAUUUCCAGCUUGUGAGGAGGCCCAAGUGGGCCUGGUGCAAAGUAGGGUGCAGUGAGCUCGGU
rnacentral:lncRNA from 1 species